AUUGAACGCUGGCGGAAUGCUUUACACAUGCAAGUCGAACGGCAGCACGGACUUCGGUCUGGUGGCGAGUGGCGAACGGGCGAGUAAUGUAUCGAAACGUGCCUAGUCGUGGGGGAUAACGUAGUGAAAAUUACGCUAAUACCGCAUACGAUCUAUGGAUGAAAGAGGGGGAUCGCAAGACCUCGCGCGAUUGGAGCGGCCGAUAUCAGAUUAGGUAGUUGGUGGGGUAAAGGCCCACCAAGCCAACGAUCUGUAGCUGGUCUGAGAGGACGACCAGCCACACUGGAACUGAGACACGGUCCAGACUCCUACGGAAGGCAGCAGUGGGGAAUUUUGGACAAUGGGCGAAAGCCUGAUCCAGCCAUUCCGCGUGCAGGAUGAAGGCCCUCGGGUUGUAAACUGCUUUUGUACAGAACGAAAAGGUUUCUACUAAUACUAGGAGCUCAUGACGGUACUGUAAGAAUAAGCACCGGCUAACUACGUGCCAGCAGCCGCCGUAA
rnacentral:rRNA from 1 species